CCUUUUGCCACACUUUUGAAGCGUAGCAUUGUCAUACAUAUUUUAACCUUUAUGCAAGUAUCAAUUUUAUGUUUAAAAAUUAUAUUUUUUCAAAUAUGCUAUAAUCACAUUUAUUUCCUAAAUAUAAACUUCAAUAUGCUGAUCUCAAACACUACAUUAACUAUUAAAUAACAAAUUUUGUUUCAAAUGAAUAUACUUGCAAUGAAUUUUGAAGAAGGAAUAUUUUACAACAUCAAAUAAUAAAACUAAUUGUUUCAAGGUGCCUGCCAGCCAUUAACCUUACAUCUCAUAAACAUCAUAAUGGUCCAAUUGUGAUCCAGCCCUUCCCCGGACACCGCGGAUAGUGGGAGCUUAGUGCACCGAGCUACCCAUAAUUGUCCAAAACUCUACGGUAUUAGCUUCUUAUAAAUCAAUUUGAUCUAGUCCACCAUUUUCAAUUCCAUCUCCAGAAUUUUCCUACAAAUUAAAAUCAAAUUAAAAGCUAGAUAGAAACCAAUAUUAUACUACUGCAAACUCAAAUGAGCAUAUUUUCACCAAUCAAAAGAUCAACACUACUAAUAAUGAAAAAGUAGCACUUUCGGGGCAGGAGACAGUGGAUGAGCGGCCAAAUAGAAAUCAGUACCCAUUUACACGUCCAAUAGGAGAUAUCUUGCAAGCAUGAACUAGUAGAAUUUGCAAUAGGCAGUGCAUCUGCAAAUAUCUAUUUAUCAAUAGAUUGGCAAAAUAUAGGUAAAACAUGAAAUAUCUACAUAAUAAACCUAAUAACAGAAUUUAGAUUGUAUUAGUAACAUUCUCAAGCAUGGAGAAACAAAAGGAACCUAACCAUAUCGGUUAGAUUCCUACCGUACGGUUAUUAGUCAAAUCAAGGAUCUUAAGUGUUGCACAAUAGAAAUUUUAGCAACAUGAUUCACAAAGUAUAAUAUUAACACUGCUCUUGAUAACAAUGGAUGGUAAUUCACUUUCUGGAUAGAUACAAUAUGGAGUUUAAUGGAAGCAUUCUAGUACAAAAAACAAUGUAGAUGAUAGCAACUAUAAGGUAAUAUCACAAAAUCACAUAAAUAAUACAUAUCUAACUGUCUCCAUGACAAAACAAGAACUCGCUGAUAAAUCAAUGCAUACCUAAUUUUUUACCUAAUGCUACCAUGUUUGUACCUAUCAAAAAAUAAUAUUAUAUUCAUAUAAAACCUUUUAGUAGUGAGCAAGCAUAUAUCCAAAGGAAAGGAAAAGGACAAAACAAAAACACAAACUGAUCAUGUCACACUUUUUAAAGAAAGAAGCUUUGAGUUGAAACCAUAGAUUUCUCAGUAAUAAUGCACACAAAUUCAAUAAAGAGGAAAAUUGGAAGGAGCAUCGACUUCAUCAAAAGGAAAGCAAUCAAGAUAACAUAUUCCAUGUAGCUUUAAUAGCAGAUAUAAUGUUUAGUUAAGCUAAAAAAGUCUCAUGAGAUUAUGAAAAGAACAUUAUGGAGAUAUUUUUUGGCUAUUGCAAAAGCCACAUAUGCAUAUCCUAUGUUAAAUUACUUUUAAAAAAAAAUUGUUAUCAUCCCAUCCCAUCUCCCAUUAAUCUAUGACCAUCCAAUAAUACACACAAGGGAAUUGAAGUUUCUUUUGUACAAAAUCAUACUCUCACCUAUCUCUCUCUAGAGAGGAAUUUUCAAGUCUCAGCACUGUCGUUGAUGGUCAAAUCUACUUAUCUCGACCCUGCAUAAACUGCAAAAAAUUGAACACACUUCAAUAUUAGGAUGUGGGUUGGUUUGUAACGCGUACAAUAAAUUGAACACAAACUAAUUUCUUUCGUAAUAUGAGAAAAAUUUAUGAUAGAAACCUGAAAAUAUUAGGGGAAAAUAAGCACGAGAAGCCCUUAAACAAUCAUUCAUAGAUGCCUUAUCAAUGGCAGGACAAGACUAUCAGCACAAGAUCAUGAAGAAGGAAAAUUGUAUAAUGGGAUAGUUGACCUAAUGAAGCUCGGACGCAAACACCACUAUUAACAAGAGUAUGUUUUCUAAAUAGGAAAUUUAACAAUCACAUAGAGUUGUUUAGUUUGUCAAGCUCAUGUAUCAUCGGCUGACAGCACAAAGUGAUUACUAUCAAGCAAAACAGAGUGAUAAUACAAAUAGACCAAACUGACUAACUAAGAUUACAGUUUGGAACCGAAGUACCAUUGAACUGAAACAUAACCUACAAGUCUUAUAAAGUUUCUAAACCUAACAUACAUAUAGCUAAGGCAAGUAAAGAAUAAGGUAAAAGAACACAUUCUCAGAAAGUUUCAUGUAAAUGGUCUGCCUAAGCUUGACUCAACUCUCAUGUUGCACAAGCAACACAUCUAUGAUAAAUUAGUCCUUUUUGAAGUUAAAUAUCAAUUUAUAUUAAAAACUUCAACCCGCACGGUGUCACUAAUUUAAACUAUUCUUCAAGAGGUUGUUCGGUCCACAAACUAGUAAUACAGAAUUAUUGCCCUAAAUAUAUAAUUUUUUAGCGAAGAGUUAUGCAAAAAUAGCGACACCAAAGCCAAUAAUUAGCUUCAUCCUAGUAUCGCCGAUACACAUUAAUAUUUAGCCCUUCUAACUUGACGGUGCAGUAAAUAAAAAAUUCAAAAGGAGAAGUAAAUUUAACUAAUCAGAUUGUUGGACGUAAUCCGAGGAGCUUUAAUGGCAGCACUAAUAAAACUACUUCAAGUUAUAUAUAUUCCCCUAAAACAUACAUAAUAAUUCCAAUCAGAGAGGCAAAUUAUUAGAUGUAUAGAAGUUAAUCAAAACCCUAACUAGCCCUUAAACAAUCAUUCAAGUGCACCAAGGGUUUUUUAUUUUUCAACUUCAAAUCCAUUAAGAUUUAGAGUGCGACACUAAAAAUCCGUACCAAAAUUAUAUUUAGUUCUAAGAAAAGAAAUUAAACACAAAAAAAGUAAUAGUAACGAGAGAUUAAUGAAAGUGGGUUUGAUAAAAUCAGCACAUACAAGUAUGAAAGCAGAGUUAUCGAUUUUCGUAAAGGAACAAAAGAUGCAGACAAAUAGAUGGCGGCACUUGACUGGAUGUUGCAGAGGAAGUGUCGCCGAAGGAGCGAACACAAGUUGAGUCAGUGCAGGACCAUCUCAAUUAGUUUUAUUGCCAAAACUCCAUCAUUUGUACUGAAUAGACUUGGUCAUUGUAAGCGGGUGGAGGAGUCGGAGCAUGCGGAUAGGGAUUGGGAAAUUUCAAAGGAGAAAUAUUUUAAAGGUCUCUUCAGAACUGGGGGGAAUAUUUCAGUUAAGAGAAAUAAUGGAUUUUAUUGAAAGUUUUACAAUUCACUUAUAAAGAGCGACUUUUAGGAUGAAUAAACAGAACUCUUUAAAAGCGUUGCUAUAUUUGUGAGUAUGUUAUAAAUAGAACUCUAUUUAAGGUGAAUGUCUAUCUUAUAAGAAGAGUCUUACUUCAGGCUAAGUCUUUUAUCUUCCUAUAAAUAGAGGGGUCUUACCCCAUUGUAAAUUAUCCCAAAAAUAUUAAUAAGAAUACUCCUCUCUCUA
rnacentral:lncRNA from 1 species